rnacentral:lncRNA from 1 species
AACCAACACGUAUCCAUUUUCUCUUCUCAUGCAAAAAAAAAUCAGAUAUGCAGAUCACAUUUUUGUUUUUGAGGUUGGGGAGAGAGACAACCCUUACCUGUUCGAGUUUUUCUUUUGUCCUUUCAAUUUUUAGGCUCUCUCGUGAGUCAUGAUGAACCAAAAAGCAUUUUCUCUUUCGUUCUUAUUAUGAUGACACUUACUUAUCUUCUUCUCAAUCAAAGAAUCGUACCUUCUCUCUUUCUUUCUUUCUGUUUGUUUGAUAAGAUCGCAGAUUAGGUUGAAACAAGAACACGAGUACUUAUGUUGAGGGGGGUCCCUUUAUCAUAAUCAGGAUAAGGUUUUUUUUAGAUAGAAACGUAAUUUUUUGGCGUUUACAUUUACAUAA